CUACGGGGGGCUGCAGUGGGGAAUAUUGCACAAUGGGCGCAAGCCUGAUGCAGCCAUGCCGCGUGUGUGAAGAAGGCCUUCGGGUUGUAAAGCACUUUCAGCGGGGAGGAAGGCGUUAAGGUUAAUAACCUUGUCGAUUGACGUUACCCGCAGAAGGAGCACCGGCUAACUCCGUGCCAGCAGCCGCGGUAAUACGGAGGGUGCAAGCGUUAAUCGGAAUUACUGGGCGUAAAGCGCACGCAGGCGGUUUGUCAAGUCGGAUGUGAAAUCCCCGGGCUCAACCUGGGAACUGCAUUCGAAACUGGCAGGCUAGAGUCUUGUAGAGGGGGGUAGAAUUCCAGGUGUAGCGGUGAAAUGCGUAGAGAUCUGGAGGAAUACCGGUGGCGAAGGCGGCCCCCUGGACAAAGACUGACGCUCAGGUGCGAAAGCGUGGGGAGCAAACAGGAUUAGAUACCCGUGUAGUC
rnacentral:rRNA from 1 species